AAGUGCUGAUUGAAAAUUGCUGAUGGUUUUCUUAUGAGCCUGAGCAGAUACUGCUUGACACAUGGAUUGGAGCAAGCAGGAAAAGGAAGACAUUGGGGAUUGAGACUGCAUGAAUCCACAAUACAAUCUGAAUUUCUUAUGAGAGGGAUUGUGGAGAAUGAAAAAUCUUGUGAAAAUGCAUUAUCUCAAUGACAUCCGAGGCCUGAUGAUUAAUCCGUGGCAUCAAUAUGUUAUUCCUCUGGAUGCCAUCUGUUGACAGUUAGACUGUAGCUUGUCAUGUGAGAGGGAAGGGAGCCAAGCUAACCAAGCCUCACCUUCUUAACUCCACCACUGCCACCAAGUGGAUAUCUCCCUCUCUCCUCACCCCCCCCCCGGAACAUACCUUUUAAGCUCCGGAACAUUUUAAUUGGCCCAGACCUCUCUCUACUGAGUAGAGCGGUAAGGCAGGUAGGCAUGGAUGAAUGACAUGAUCUCAGGCAUAUUUAAACACAAACCCACUUUUAUUUGAGGUUUUUGUAAGGUGACAAAUUAGCUGUUCUUAAAUAUUCCUUAAAAAAACCCGUAAACAGUUCCUCAUAAGAGGAAAAUGAUGGUAACAGAGGAAAGGCUAAAUCUAGACUUGACAGAAGUAGUAGUCAGCAGGGUGAGGUGGGAUGGCACUGAUCACUUGACUUCCCAAUGCUAGGGUCACUGCUGGUUACCAAAAAGGGAAAGGGUGAGGUGGCAGGGAGCUUAUCCUUAAUUUUUAAUUAAAUGUAUCACAAUUGGGAUAUUGUUCCCACCGUUGCUACAUGAAACCAUGUUUGCUAAGUAAAAUUACUAACUGUUGAUAAUAAAUGUUGAUGUAAUUGUGGUUCAUUAGGACCCUAUUUCCAUUUAUGGUGGUCUUGCCUUAAACUUGCCAAGUUUUGGGAAAAAUUUUUUUUGAGAAAUUGAGCAAAUCACAGUACAGGAGAUAGCCCCCAAUUGUACACUAGUUCUGCUAUUAGUCUAUGACGACUCCACUCGACCUUUAAUGCAUAAAGCCUUGAUAACAUUUUUGUUAAUUGUUGCAAAACUGACAAUAGCAAAAUGCUGGAGAUGCUUAAAUGCAGACCUGAUGCAAGACUGGUAUGCCCAGGUGUGGUAUUUGGCCCUUAUGGAGAAAUUGACAUUGGCAAGUGUGUGACAGAGGAACUUGGACCAAUGCCUUGAAAUUUUAUGGAACUUGGUUUAUUUUUAUACAGUAUGCUGCAUCCCUUGAGCGUGGAUUUCGCCCCUCUGUGGCACACAAUUCCUUCUAGAAAAAUACUUUUGAUUAAGCUAUAAGGCUGUUUUCUUAUGUGAUAAGUUGGAAAUGCAACGGCCUUCCUUUCCCCUUUUGUUGUCGUUGUUUUCUUUUGUUGUUUUGUAGCCCUCUAUUUCCUGUAAACAUAAGAAAACUAAUAAAAAGUUGUUUUUUAAAAA